rnacentral:tRNA from 1 species
GCAGUGAUGGUUCAGUGGUAGAAUUUUCUCCUUCCACGUGGGAGACUGAGGUUUGAUUCCCAGCCAAUGCA